CGUUCAAUAUUCAAUUAUGAUAUUUAAGUUGCAAUUAAAAGGUUAAAUUUAUGUAUGC
rnacentral:tRNA from 1 species